rnacentral:lncRNA from 1 species
CCCCAUGACAUAAACUAUCCCUGAACGAAGCAAAACACCACUGCCUUGGGAUAGGGAAUGUGCCCCGGGGGCAGCCAGGAGCAUCACCAAAAGUUGGGAAAGAGGGAAAGCGAUAAGCUCGGCCAUGAGAUGAGGCAAUGAGUAAGGAGCGCUGUCAUUUAAUAAGGUCUGUUCUCAGUAAUUACAGCGACACAAUUUGAUCAGCAAGAACUAAGUAUCUUCAUCUGAAAGGGAUCAGAUGAAAUUAGUGCUGAUGUAAUAAGUACCAUUUGUCACUAUUAGGGAGAGAGGUGUUGACAGGUCCCUGCCGUUGCCGUGGCAACGUGGCAGCGCCGUUCCUGCUCCGACUCCAGCGAGUGGCACAAGGCUGGGAGGCAGAGGAUGCUCUGCUGGGAUAACCCAGUUACCCCUUCCCCAGCUGGCUCAGGCAGGAUCCCCGAAUUCUAAUGAUGCUGGGAUUCCUGGGGCUCCAUCUGGGGCUGAUUCCUCAUCCUCCAGCCUGCCUAUGAGGAAGCACUGAGGGAGCUGGGGGUGCCCAGCCUGGAGAAAAGGAGGCUCAGGGGUGACCUUGUCAUUCCCCACAGCUCCUGAAAGGUGCCUGUGCCCAGCUGGGGCUGGGCUCUUUCUCCAGGCAGCACUGACAGAACCAGAGCUCACAGCCUCGAGCUGAGCCAAGGGAAAUACACGUUGGAUAUCAGGGAAAAGUUUUUACAGAAAUGGUGAUAAAGUUCUGGAAUGGCUGCCCGGUGAGGUGGUGGAGUCACCAUCCCUGGGUGUGUUUAACAAAGCCUGGAUGUGGCACUGGGUGCCAGGGCUGAGUUGAGGAGCUGGGGCUGGGUUGGACUCGAUCUUUAAGGUCUCUUCCAACCCAGUGAUUCUGUGAAUUCUGCCUCAGUUUCCCUGCUACCAGAAACCUCAGAGCAUCCUUGGGGAUGUUCUCCCUGGAUCAUUCCACCUUGCUGCCAGUCUCUUGCAGCCAGCUCUCACACAGACCCCACGGCAGGAGGGAAAUUCCUGCAUUUUAUGGUUAUUUUGACACCAUCCUCACACACCUGCAGCGUGAUUUUCUCCCACACAGCCUUAAUGCAACAUUUAGAAACACUGAGGGCUUUGUGUUGGCCCAACUCGAGCUGAAAGGUGUCCUUUCCACCAGGCAGCCCCAUAAAGGAAAUUUUCAUUGCAGGCAGAAGCUGAGUUUCUCUGACACUGGGAGUCCAGCAGUGAGGUUAUUCACAGGCAGAUUACAUAUUGUUGCAUUAUUUUCCACUGAUGCAUUCCAGGACAUGAAAUAAAAAGGGAAUAUUUGCUGCCAGCAGGUAAAAUUCUAAGAGUGAAAUACCACAUGAAAGGAAAAAAAAGAGAGAUUCUCAUGAUCAGAUACUCAUAAUCAAUGCACAUAGCCAAAACACAAUCUUAAUUACUAUCAGUGGGUGGAAAUUUCCUGAAUGUUAAAUUACCUGUGGCAAUUAUGAACUACUGAGUAACCUGUUUACAGCUUCCUGAAAUUAUCAUCACAUAAUUUGGCAAUCUGCCAUAUUUUAUUUCAUUAAAAAUUUAAUGUACCGUAACAUAAUAGCCAUAAUAAAGCUGUCAAGAUCCACUCACUGCUAUUUACUUCGCUAUCAUCUGUUUAUUAGCUCUCAAAACCAAAAGCCAAACAGAAAGGAAAACUGAAAACUCACAGAUCACAUGAGAAAAGGAGAAUAUGAAGGGCUCCCUCUUUCUGCUGUACAGCCCCAGCAUCCAUCUCUACCCCAUUUCUCUCACAGUCAAAACCAUGCAUAGAGAAUACCUAAUAAUGUGUUUUGAGAUCUUAACUGCUUGCUAAAGUGUGAUGCACAUAGAUGGGACAGGACAUAAAUUGCCAGAACCCAGCAAUAAUUAUCAGUAUUUUACACUAUAGCUAGCAUUAACAACACCAAUAAAAUCAUCAUGAUUUUCAAGUUGUCAUCUGGAAGAAGUGCUUCCUCUGCCAGGGCAUCUUUAAAAUUAAACACUGAAGCAUUUGAGAAAACUACAGCAGCUGGAACUGAUGCAAAAAUCAAGAAGUCAGUGACUGUCCCAAAAUGCAAAGCUGUUGGAUGAGGAGUUAAUCCCUUCAAUUUGGGCCCAACAGCUUCAGCCAAAACGAGGAGAGCUUGUGGCUGUGCUCUGGCCAGGCUCGGCUUUUGCUGAGGUUUCAUGGUUCGCAGGGAGUGUAGGUCUGGAAACACGAGUGUUUAUGAGCCAUGGAGAAACCCAACAGCUCCACUUAGAGCACAAGUGUUGAUUUCCUUCCCCAGCUCCCUCCUCACACCCUGACAAGCACCACACCUGCUGAGGGUUUGAAGCAGAUCAAGUGCUAAGAGAUGCAGGCUUUGGGAAGAAAUAAAGGGGCAUUGCUACGUUCAGGUGGGACAAAAGUGACAACAACAGUUUCACAGGUGAGUAGCAAGGGAACAGCACUAACAGAGCUUAGGUACUCCAAAAAACCCCACACCCAGUGAAUUUCAUGCACUAAUUUCCACCAUGUUAGUGACAAAUACUAAAGUAGUUUAACCUACUUGCAUGUUAAAAAUAGACUUACUGAGUAGCACGUUGGUUGGUAUAUUUUGCCAACUUGUUUGUGGUUUUGUUUUGUUUUUUCUGGCUUAUAAAUCAAGAAAAUAGAUAAAAUUCCAUUAAGUUUCUGUGCAUGCCUAAGAUACUGAAAUUGCAAUGACAGAGCAUUUUAUUUGCAAAACAUUCGAAGACAAUUUCACAAAUGGGGCAAAUAAACCAAGAUACAAUGCAUUAAGUUUUCAAGUAGUGAGGGAUAAAUUAACACUGUGUUUCAGAGCCCAUAGACAGCUAAAAGAAGCAUUAGUUUAUAUUAUUUAGGUAAUUCACAGUUUUAAUCUUCGAGUUUUCAAGCAAGGGAAGAACUGCUUGAUAUACUCGAUUUACAGGCAGUAUUUCUCUGAGUUUUAGAUUAAUGCAUCAAAUAGAAGACAAUCAACACACACAUACUGAAGAAAUCUGAAGGGAACCUGUAAUAAAAUAAAAUCCUCACAGAGAAAAAAGAACACUUUUCAUUAAAACAAUUCUGCUGACAUCAUUUUACCCCUGGGUUGGGCAUUAACCAUAAGUGUGAUUUAAAGUGAGCAUUUCUUCUGCUUACAAGUGCUGCAUUUCCAAGGGUGAGAAGGAAAAUGAGUACGUUUUCCUCAGUUUCAUGCUCAGAACUACUGCUUGUGCCAUGGCAUCCUUAUCACAGAAUAUUAGCUAAAAAUGAAAAGCAAAUAUUUGACUUUCAAAUUUGUAUCCAGAUGUAUCCUCUCAGAAAAUAAAUGCUGUCACAACAGUUAUACCAAAGCCUCCACACUGCUUCAGUUGCACUAUGAGAUCAUGGGAUCAUUAAGGUUGGAAAGGCUUUCAAGAUCAUCAAGUCCAAACACAAUCCACAUCAGUGAUUUUUUCUGCAGGUUUUCCCUCUUUGCCUCUGGGUACAACUCAAAAGUGCAAAGGAGAGGGGAAGAGCAAAGGUUCUGCUCUUAUCCUCAAAUGGAAGCACCCUACAGACAGAAUAAACAACUAGGAACAGCAAAAAUCAAGAGUCCUACACUUGAAUUAGGGAAAAAAUCUGAAAAGUAAAAUUUGGAGAUUAUGCUACAGCAAGUUAUAAGCUAAAAUAAGUAUAGAAGGGACCUUAAAUGUCAGUUCUCAAGAGUCACUGGCAUUACUGGAACAAUUACAGUUCAGUCAAAUGGGUUUGAAAUAAGGAAAAAUUGUCUGGUUACCAGAGUGGGAAUUAGGCAAUGCCAACAUUUUAUCACAGCUGAACCCAGUUACUUGCUUAUAGUUUUGAACUAAAAUAAAACAUUAACCCUGAAAUUCAACUCACUCAUAUUACAGGAUUGAACUCACUCUUUCCUUUCAAUAUAUUCCCUCUUUUGCCUAAAUGGACCUGUUGUGAUCAAUGUCACUGCACGUAUAAAAUGUCAAUAUUCUCUCUCCGUGCCUUAGGUUGGAAAUGGGGAUGUGUAUUCUAUUCCUAUCUGUCAGAGGUGGGGCAGUUCUCUGCUGUUCAUUGGGCAGCUUUUUCUUUAUCUCUCCCAUAGCCAAUCCUCCCUCCAGAAGAUCUCUUCUGUCCAUGGGCCAUUAAUUAUUAAUUAUCUUCUGUUCAUGGCCAGAGAGUGUCCCUGCAUGGCUGAGAAAAUUCCAUCAUCCCAUGGGGAGAUGCUCUACCCAGGGGAGGAGCCAAACAUUCCUACCUGGAUACAAUCUGACCUUUGCCCACUGCAUUCCCGGAGGAGCAGCUUUCUUCCCACUGCAUUCCCAGAGGAGCACUUUCUUCCCACUGCAUUCCCAGAGGGGCCCAGGCCCAUCUCCCCCAGCCCUGGAGCUCCAGAGGAAAACUCCCCCCUUGUGCAGGAUCCUGCUCCAGCAGAAGCACAGCUGGCACUGCAGGAGGGCUGAGCCACCCUGGGAUGGGACUGCUGCCACCACCCUGACCCACAGGGGGACAGGGCAUGUUCUGACUCUGGCAGUGAUGUUCUGUAUUACUGCAUUUUUAUUUUCAUUUUAUUCCCUAAUAAACAACUGUUAUUCCUACUCCCAUAUCUUUGCCUGAGAGCCCCUUAAUUUCAAAAUUACAAUAAAGUGGAGGGAGGGGAUUUAUAUUUUCCAUUUCAGGGGAGGCUCCUGCCUUCCUCAGCAGACACCUGGCUUUUUAAACCAAGACACUCCUUCUUUCUUGUUGCUCCCUUCAGGCACUGCAAGGCCACCCUGAGGUCACCCCGAAGCUUCUCUUCGCCAGGCUGAACAAUCACAAUUCUCUCAGCCUUUCCUGACAGCAGAGGUGCUGUGUCCACCAUCAUCCAUCAAAGAUCUCCAUGACAGACAAUUUCCUUGGUGUGGGGAAGGCCAGGAGGCCUCAAAUGCCCCAGUGCCAUCAUGAAUGCAACCAAUGAUUGCUGUGCCAACCUUAAUGUCUCUGCUUUUUCUUUGUUAUGUUAAUGAUGCCACAAAUAAUUGGACUCCUUGAGAGGUUUUCACAACUCUUUUUGAAGUUUUGCUUUAU